GUGCCAGCCGCCGCGGUAAUACAGAGGUCCCAAGCGUUGUUCGGAUUCACUGGGCGUAAAGGGUGCGUAGGUGGUGAGGUAAGUCGGAUGUGAAAUCUCCAGGCUCAACCUGGAAAUGGCAUUGGAAACUACCUUGCUAGAGGGUUUGAGGGGGGACUGGAAUACUUGGUGUAGCAGUGAAAUGCGUAGAUAUCAAGUGGAACACCAGUGGCGAAGGCGAGUCCCUGGAAAAUACCUGACACUGAGGCACGAAAGCUAGGGGAGCAAACAGGAUUAGAAACCCGCGUAGUCC
rnacentral:rRNA from 1 species